GACGAACCGUGCGAACGUUGUUCGGAUUCACUGGGCUUAAAGGGCGCGUAGGUGGUCUGUCAAGUCGGGGGUGAAAUCUUUCGGCUCAACCGGAAAACUGCCUUCGAUACUGACAGGCUAGAGGGAGGUAGGGGUUGCGGGAACUACCAGUGGAGCGGUGAAAUGCGUUGAUAUUGGUAGGAACGCCGGUGGCGAAAGCGCGCAACUGGAUCUCUUCUGACACUGAGUGCGCGAAAGCGUGGGGAGCAAACGGG
rnacentral:rRNA from 1 species